AUUGAACGCUGGCGGCAUGCCUAACACAUGCAAGUCGAACGGGGGCAGCAAUGCCCUAGUGGCGGACGGGUGAGGAAUACGUAGGAACCGGCCCACGAGUGGGGGACAACCUGGGGAAACCCAGGCUAAUACCGCAUACGCUCGCGAGAGGAAAGCGGGGGACCUUCGGGCCUCGCGCUGGUGGACGGGCCUACGUCCGAUUAGCUUGUUGGUGGGGUAAAAGCCUACCAAGGCGACGAUCGGUAGCUGGUCUGAGAGGAUGAUCAGCCACACUGGGACUGAGACACGGCCCAGACUCCUACGGGAGGCAGCAGUGGGGAAUAUUGGACAAUGGGCGCAAGCCUGAUCCAGCAAUGCCGCGUGGGUGAAGAAGGCCUGCGGGUUGUAAAGCCCUUUAAGCGGGGAGGAAAGCCGGGGGGUGAAUAGCGCCUCGGGGUGACGUUACCCGCAGAAUAAGCACCGGCUAACUCCGUGCCAGCAGCCGCGGUAAU
rnacentral:rRNA from 1 species